AAUCCAUAGGUUAAUGAGGCGAACCGGGGGAACUGAAACAUCUAAGUACCCCGAGGAAAAGAAAUCAACCGAGAUUCCCCCAGUAGCGGCGAGCGAACGGGGAGGAGCCCAGAGCCUGAAUCAGCAUGUGUGUUAGUGGAAGCGUCUGGAAAGUCGCGCGAUACAGGGUGACAGCCCCGUACACAAAAGCGCAUGUGUUGUGAGCUCGAUGAGUAGGGCGGGACACGUGGUAUCCUGUCUGAAUAUGGGGGGACCAUCCUCCAAGGCUAAAUACUCCUGACUGACCGAUAGUGAACCAGUACCGUGAGGGAAAGGCGAAAAGAACCCCGGCGAGGGGAGUGAAAAAGAACCUGAAACCGUGU
rnacentral:rRNA from 1 species